GACGGACGCUGGCGGCGUGCUUAACACAUGCAAGUCGAACGGAAAGGCCCUGCUUUUGUGGGGUGCUCGAGUGGCGAACGGGUGAGUAACACGUGAGUAACCUGCCCUUGACUUUGGGAUAACUUCAGGAAACUGGGGCUAAUACCGGAUAGGAGCUCCUGCUGCAUGGUGGGGGUUGGAAAGUUUCGGCGGUUGGGGAUGGACUCGCGGCUUAUCAGCUUGUUGGUGGGGUAGUGGCUUACCAAGGCUUUGACGGGUAGCCGGCCUGAGAGGGUGACCGGCCACAUUGGGACUGAGAUACGGCCCAGACUCCUACGGGAGGCAGCAGUGGGGAAUAUUGCACAAUGGGCGGAAGCCUGAUGCAGCAACGCCGCGUGCGGGAUGAUGGCCUUCGGGUUGUAAACCGCUUUCGCCUGUGACGAAGCGUGAGUGACGGUAAUGGGUAAAGAAGCACCGGCUAACUACGUG
rnacentral:rRNA from 1 species